CUAGCUGUUCACAAUCGUCACAAUGAUGUCGCUAGACUUUUUAUCGGUAAAGGAAAGAAAGUUAAUAAUUGAACGCUGCUGACAAUGGUGGCGAAUAGCUGAACUAAUUUAGCUGAAUAAUCGGAUGAUUUUUUUCUAUGCCCAAUGCCCAUACUCGAUUAUCGUUUAAUAUUCUGUCAAAAAAAUAACUGCAGUUGUCCAUUUACCCACUGUCACCACCAAUGUUGAAUACUACAGCCCAUUAUUACGCUUGCAUCGUCAUAGUUUCCUUGAACCCAAAACAUUUGU